rnacentral:lncRNA from 1 species
CUUCAGAAGCUGCACACUCCGGAUCGCUUUUACAGGCUGCAGCUCUCGCCGGGCAAAUAUUCUGCUCCAAUAGCGUCGGACAUCGUCCCGUCACGUGGAGCGCUGAGUGCUCUGCGAAAACGACGUAUCAUGAAUGUUUUUUGGAUUCUUUGGACGAUCGACAAACCUGAAAUAUUCUACUCACCGGCUGUAACGGAAUGCGAUGAAAACAAGGCGAAGAUCUGGAAGGUUAAUAUCAACACCCACACAACGGCGCAGGCAUUUCCCCCGCUGCAAAAGUCACGGCGCAUCCUCAACACAUCAAGGGGAUUUUUAAUACCUCACUAUUCUGAAAGAAGAGGAAACACGUUUCAUCGUUAGCCUCUCCCUCCUUCUCUCUCACUUUGUCGUCGUGGGGAAAAUACGAGAACGGUGAACCGAUGCUCCUGGAGGAAUUGGCCCCGUGGAUGCGUGAAUGACCAUCGGGUCCAGGAUCUAUAGAUCUAUUCACCAUUCGUCGGAAGUUUCUUCUCCGAAACUCGAGUCAAUCGGGGUGAAGGUUACGGCCAUGAAUCGUCUCGACGAUGGAAUUAACCUGGAUUAGACUCGGCCAAAAAUGAUCGACGAGGCAAAACUGAUCUAAUUUCAAAAAUGUCGGAUAAAUCACUGCUGCAGCAGGCGAGGCGAAGAGAAUCCGUUGGCUGCGUUGGACGAAGAACGGGUUCCAGUCUUGGCGGUUGAACCCGCUCUCAUGCAGGCGGCGGCAUUCCGAAACGCCUGAAGGCGUUUCUUCGUCGAGGCCCAGUGACCGACAUUCGGUCGUUCGUGACGCGACGCCUCCUCUCCACCUCUCUUUCUCUCUCUCUCUCUCUGAGGCAGGUUCUUCACCUGCAUCUCGUCGCCGUCCCACGUCGGAAUCAUCGUACCUCUUAUGUUUGUUUUGUUUUUGGGUACUUUUUUUCAACAUUUUUCUCCCCCAAUUUAUAUUCUAAUUUUAAAAUUCCUCGCCCCGAAGAACUUUUUAUACAUUACAUUCCGACCUAUCUGUUUUAUUCAUGUCUCUCUUCGGGAACCAAAGAGAAAGAGAGUAAGUGUGUGUCUGUGUGUGUGUGUGAGAGAGAGAGAGAGAGAGCAUUGCUGAUAAGAACCUGUAUCGAGGGAUUUUCAAACGACGGGGAAAAGGAGGGGAGGUUCCAGCCGAACGGUGGGAGCGAGAAGACGCCGUGAAAUCCGUGAUCGAAGGUCUAGGUCGCGGAGCUUCCUUGUACCGGUGAUUUCAACGCGCCUUGACACACUGCACUCGGUUCCGGUACACCUAAUUAUGAGUCAUUUUUCGGCUGUUCACCCACUAAAAAUUCCGCUUCUUGUUACGUGCUAAUUUCGUCGAUAUCUCUUUUUCUCUCUCUGCCGUUUUGUGUCGAUCUUUUACCAAAUUACCAAUGAUUAAUAUUGAAAUAAAUAAUCGAAGCUUGAGAUAGUAUAUAUGUAUCGUGCGUUUUUCCCUAAGUAUGUUUCGAAUUGUCUGUCUAAACGCAUUGCAAUGUUCACACACCUUCCUCAAUUAGACGUAGAAUUCAAAAGUUUAACAAGUCCAUAAUCAGUGCGAAUUUUUUGCACGCAUGCCAGUUUUCUGAUACAAAAAUCAAUCCUUACCUCACGCGUUAUCAAUAAUUGGAUCGCACGAAUUGGGGUUGAUUAUAAUUUUGUAAUUUUUCUUUGUUGGGAAAAAUUGUGUGAAAUAUCUAUAAGAAAACAGCGGACCUCACGUUGAAAAAAAAAAAAAACCACUAAUAAUCAGGCAAUAUCAAUAUUAUUGAUGAUACACCGUAAAUAAGUUCUUCUCAAAUCCACCCAAUUGUAACAAACGUUUGUUUGCAAUUGCGUGACAAUCUUUCCGUGCGACGACGCGUAUCCCGAAUUCCCAUGCAUGGCUACGGAUUCUACCGGAUGUAGGUUAGUGUCGAAGCGUCUCUGAGUGCUCUCCGCGAGCGUAUAUCCGGGGUAUUUUAUCAAUUAAUAAAUCUAGCUCAACGAAGCCCGAUGUAUGUAUAUAUAUAUCGCGGGAAAGGCGGGUAGCGAUGAUGAUGCUCGUGUCUCUGUAUGUGUGUAUUUAUUUACGUAUGUAUGUAUGUGUGUUAUUGCACGUACGUACGUAUAGCGUUAAAUUCGUUACCUGUGAAACCCGGACGUUUGCAAAUGCGGUAUGUAUUAUGUAGGUAGGAUAACGGUGACCUACCGCCGCAGCUCUUUUCACAAAGUGUAUUUUACGCCGCUGCCAUUGCGGCCUCCACACUCGCACACAUUCGCAGGAAAUAUAUAUAUCUCGUACUCGAGUUUGCGGAUUCGUGCAUACAUACCCAUUUCCUAUCUCUGCGCAGUCCGUUUAUAGGUAGGCACAUACCUCUGCAAACGAUUUCACGGAGACGCGUCAUGUUGCGGUAUUGUUCGAAAUUUAAAGGCAACUAGUAGAAAUCGAAAAAACUUCUUUGUUACUAUAGACUCUAGCCGUAAUAAAAAUUCUCAUCGAUUUUCAGAAAACUUCUGUAAUGACUUGUUUAAUUGAAGUAGGAAAAAUUUGGACCAUUCCUAUUUUACAAUUUCUACAUCACAUUGAAGUUGGUAACGUUAUCGCAACGAUUCAUACUGAGGAUAAAUCGUUAUUUCGCGAUUUUGGAAUUGUCUGAAAUUCGGUAAACCGUAAUAAAACGAAACUCAAUCAUAUUUUGGAAUCAUAGUUCCUUCAAAAUUAUUGUAAAAUUAAGAAAAUAGUGAUUUAUUUGAUAACGUUACUAACUUCAAUCUGGUAUUUCUAUGCACAUUCUAGAAUCAAACUAUAAUCACCACUAUUCGAUAUUUUUAUAACGCAAUUCCAGUUUGCUCAUCAGAAAAAUAUACUUUUCUAUUCGAAUUAAUUAGCGGUGAACAUUAUUCUCCAAUGAAUAUGGACGUAACUGAAUCAUUGUUAUUUCACGUUUAGAUGCUCGGAGGUACGAGAGCUGGAAAAAAAUCGUAGCGGUAGAAUGUGGUGAAUGUAUGGCCAGCACUUUUUUGGAGUUAAAUCUACAGCAAUUGUGACAAGAUUUACAAACCCGAUAACAAGAGUUACAAAACCAGCAGUAAGAGUUACAAUAUACUUAGGCAGAUGUAACACAAUCGAUGUAGAUUUGACUCCAAAAAAAUGCUGUCCAUACGUUCACCACGGCAGAUGUAAAAUCUAAAUUUAAUUUUUAUCCGUGCAUCUUUUGAAAUUUUAGGCACGCAUUAUGACUGGUACACUGUAGGUACACACAUACUUGUGUAGAUACUGCGGCGAGGUGGAUGGCCUCGGAAACUUGUGUGCGUCAAUGUAUGUAGAAAGUGUCGCGCGGUAUGGAGCUAAAAAAGGAGGAUCGAAACCGGCGACGCGGAGGCGUGAGAGGAGUCGUGGAAUUUAAAAUUUAAAGAGUAAAAAGAAAAUUAAGUAAACCGAAACAGCCAACAUUCUGAUCGAUAAAUUAAAUUGCUUAUCCGUAGAGCGUCGCGUCUUUGAUUGAUUGAUGAUUAUAAGAUUUGUAGUAAUCUUAUGUUAAGUUAUACACUUGACAAACUGGAAUUAUUAACAAUAGUAUUAUACUUUGUUGUAUUGAUUUUUCUAGAAAAUAAGAUCAUUUCUUAAAAAUAUCUGUAUCGACCUCACUUUUAUAUAAUAAUUAAAGAUUAGGUAUAAUAAAUCUGUUCCAACAUC